GGUCAACCAAAUGCUUGGCUGCAAUCUGGGCUAUGAAGAACCAUCAGUUUCAGGCAUGAGAGGUGAUCCUGGGGAACCAGGAGUUUGAGCCAUGGCUACCUCAGAGCCAAGAUUGCAGAUGGGAUGAUGCAGCCAGUCAGCCCUGCAUGGAGAUGCCAGGGGGCCUGGGACUUGAGCCUCAGGGGCUUUCAGACUUGGAACUGGAACUGUUGCUCUAUAGGAACCAAGUUGCACAGAGACUGAGAUGAUGAAGGGGUGGAGAAGGAUUAUGCCUCCCAUGUGUUAGGGGAGUAAAUUUAGAUAUUUGUAAUUAUACCAUUUGAAGUAAAUAGUUCUGUCUAAAUACUAA